CAGGAGUUUAGUCAUGAUGGAUAUUUCAGCAACGAAGAGCCUGACAGGGAGACGAACUGUUAGCACGGUGCUUUUCCCCAGUUUUCUACAGUGCUGCCACUAUGUAAUGGGAAACACUCACUGCCAGCUACCACAGACGCUGGAGGGGAGUUUUUGGAGCCAAAGGCAGGAGAACCAGUGACUAGGUUUUGAGGGAAAUUACUUUUUCACAA